ACUAACAUUGUAAAGCAACUGUGCCCCAACUAAAAAGAAAGAAAUGUCUUUUUCGUCUCUUUAACUUAUAGCUUUUCUGCCCUCCUUUUCUCUUCCUCUUUACUUUUUAUUUGUUGAGGAGCUGGGGUCUCACGCGUGUCCUGUAGUUUCCCCAAAUCUGGAUUUUGCUGCUGGCGUCCCUACAUGUUGCUCACUUUGCUGUGACUCAAGGUUGAUUUUCCGGCACGUUGACCCCCUUGAGACACAGGACGGGUCACUGAGCUCCAUGCCAUCAGAGGGACCCCGCAUCGUCACGUCCUGUCCUCGCAGCCUCCAACGACCUCUGCCUGGAGCCACGACCUCUGAGGGGGCUGCAUUUGGGGCUGGAGAGCUGUCCUUCUAAAGCCAGAGUCUCUCUUGGUGCAGCCUGGAGGGUACCGCUCCUGUCCCAACGGACCCCCAUAAACAAAGGAUUUCUUCCUCGGCUUCGGGUUUCUCAGAAAAACCGCCUCCGCGGUGCCGGGUUAUGAAAUGCACCCUGAGCUGACCAGGAAGACCCUGUGGGACUCACUGCCUACCGAGUGCCCCCUGCAACAGGACCGGAAAGGACCCCUCAUAACUUUCCUGGGUCCCCAUUUUACCGAUGAGGACCCAGAGGCCAGUGAGCUCAGACUGGGACUCGAACCCGGGAUGGCUGCCUCUUGGGCGCAACGAUCCUUCCUACCCUGAGGCGCACAGGGCAUCAGACCGGAAAGACAGAGACCCUGGGAGAGUCAGGCAGGCUCACGUUGCACCUCCACCGUUAACAUGUAGCCAAGUAGCCUGGCCUUGCUGGGCAUCAGUUUCCCCCUCUGGCAAAUGGGCUGAGCGUUCCCCCCUCGCUCCAUCAUAAACGCUCCUGCUUGUGGCUUCAGUGGCCUUUGCAUACGUCCACCCCGUGUUGUCAGCCUCCCCUUAAACCCCUCGAUGGCAUAGCUUUGGUUUCAGGAUAACGUCCAUGCUCUUCGCUGUGGCUUUUGAGGCUGUAUGUGGCCAGUCCCUGCCCCCCACCCCGGACCCGCGUCUCUGCCAGAUCCUCAGACACAUGAGGCUCCCCCAGGACCCCAGGCCUUUGCACUUGCUCUUCCUGCCUCCAUCCAUGCCUCUGAACCUCAACCAGUUAUUGCCUACUUACCUGUCAGUCUCAGCCUGACGUCAAACUGCCUUCUUUCCUUUUCUGCUUUUUAAAUGUUUUCUUCAAGUGUAACAUAUAGACAGAAAAGUGCCUAAAUCCUAAGUCUAUGGCUCGAUAACUUUUCACAAAGUAGACACACCUGUGUAACCAGCACCCAGCUCAAGAAACAGAGCAUUCCCAGCCCUAACCCUUCCUGCCAAACUUCCUGGUGGGCUCAACAGUUUUGAAUUGAUGAUUAAUGAUUACAUGAGGGGCCCUCUGUCUCUGAUGUGGCUGUCCAAUAAGCUGCCGGGUCCUUGGGCUGCAUUAAUAGAGGUAUAGACUCUAGAACAAGGGAGGUGAUUUCUCUCCCCAUUCUGGGUUGAUCAGAGCAGGCAGGCAGCUUCCCCUGCCACUCUGAAAUAGGACAGACGGACAGCGGGUUCAGUGAAAACCACCGUGGUACGUAUGUGUGCGUGUAUACACUUCAGAGCGGUGCCCUGGGAGAAGGCACUGGAGGCUUUAAGGCAUUUAACUUAGAGAAGGACAGACCCAAGUCCCUGUCACCUCAUCCGGGUGGUUCCAUGGCAGAGCAAGGCAGGGUGCAGGUCCGCUCUGAAGGAGGCGCGGGUUCCAGGCUACUUUGAUGGUAGCGAGCAUCCCUUCAGGAGAACGAUGGCAGCCUGAUGCCCAGGGCAGCAAGGAGAGCAGGAGCUCAUUACUACAGGCUGCCCAAGACAGAGAUAGUCUAAUGCCUUCCCUCACACCAGGCCCUGUAGAGAGGAGGGGGAGGGGGAGGACUGCAGGGGACCUGUGGCCAUGCUGAGACCUUUCUCAGGCGGCGAGAUGGAAGCCCAGAACCUGCCCAAGCUCAUUGGGCCAAAACUGGCUUUCCAGGCACAGGCCGGCCUUGGAGCUCCGGCUUUGGGUGGAGUUCAGGUCAGGUUAUAUCUGGCAUGGCCGUUCCCUUUCGCCGGCUGCAGCUGCCCGGGGUGGGGGCCGCUGGGCACGCUCCACCACCUGCACUGGCAAGCGGCCGCAGGUGCUGGGCCGGCCACUUUACAUAACCACGCUUGGUCUCCCCUGCCUUGCUCGCUGUCCUGCCCCCUCGCCUCUCACCAGGAAAGGGCCAAGGGUCUGAGAGCAGGCGCCGACUCCGAGCCCCAGUGAACUCUUGAGUAUUUUUAUUUCACUUCUGCGUUUCACUUUUACUGGUCUUGGGCGAAAUGUGCGUGCUAGUCAGACCCCAAGCAGUAGCUAUUGGGUUAGGGACGGUUCUGUUCUGUGUCGACCAGGCUGGGGAUGGGGGAGCACACAGACCUGGGUUUGAAUCCCACCCCUGCCACUGGCUGGCUGUGUGGCCUCUGGAGCUACAUUCAGCCCCUCUAAGCCUCCUGAGAGGUGCAUGGGGUGUGGGAAGAGACCUCGGGCCUGGGUUCUGAUGUGACCCUGCCUCUGGCCUGCUGUGUAGCCUCAAGCAAGUCCCUUCCCCUCUCUGGGCCUCAAUUUUCUCUUCUGUAAAAUGGGAAUAACUACAGCCACACCCUUGGAAUGUUGUCUCUCUGAUCCAGCACUUCUUCAGGGUCUGGCUGGGUGCUUGUGCAGGAGAGGUGAGGCAUCCUGGAGAGUGUGGACCAGUGGCAUGUCCUUGAACUUGAGAAGCUUGAGCUAUAAGGAUCUCACCAUGUGGCUAGUUUAAAAUGCAGAUUCCUGGGCACUUCCCAGGGUCAGGAGGGGGCGGGUUGGCCCUCAGGUGUCAGCAGGUGCCACAUCAGACCGAGAAACUUUAGGAAAGGCUCUGGGACCCGAGUUUGUGUUGCCCGGGACAGGACCGAGGAGGGCUGUGGGGAGGGGAAAACCGAGGGCCAGAGAGGUGAAGUCAUUCACGCUGGGUCGCUCAGCCGGCAAGUGGCUGCACUGGGAUUGAAUGGCGAGUCGCACACACAGGCCCUGGCACCUCCAGCGAGCCUGGCGCUGGGGCGCGCUCUGCUCUGAGCACCCAGGUGUUCACGUUCCAUCGGCCUCAGGGCCAGCGGGAGCUGCCGAGGAAUGUGAAGCUUCAAGCUUCCCCCGGGAACAACUGGCAGCCCGGUCGGGGUUUAUAUAGUGGCUCCCAAAAUAUCUGGCCGCAGAUAGGCUGAGGCAGGCGAGGGCGCGGCUGGCCAAUGCCGUGGCUUCCUGUCCUGCCAAGAUGUUUCCUGCCGAUAGCCAGGCCCAGUGGCCUUAUCUAUGACCCUGGGGCCGCCAGAAGGACAGCACCCCCUACCAGGGGACAGGCUGUUCUGGCCCGGGGAAGGGGCUGCAGGGACCCAGGAGAAGGUCAGAGAAAGCAGCAGCCCUCUGAGGGUGGUGGGUAGUUAGGUCAACUCACACGUUUGGGGAAGGAGCAUUGUACUCGGAGCCCAACUGCCCCAGGGUUGAGUUGCGGCUUUGGGGCUAAAUGACUGUGUGACUCUCGGGAGCUGGGUCCCUCUCAAAGUCACCCUCAUCCAUCAAGUGGGGAUAGCGGUGUCUCCAUUUUCAUUUAACAUCCCCCACCCUGGCCCCCAGCCUGGACCUCAAGGAGCCCCAAGUCUGGGGGAGACAGAGCUGGACACAGAUCCCGUCCCCAACCCUGCAGCAUCAGGGCUUGGCUAGAAGGAGGGUGGAGGCUGGAGGAAUUCAGGUGUCUGUCUAGGGUGGCUGCCUGGAGGAAGGAUACCACAGCUGGGGUUCAGUGGAUAUGUAGGAGCUCAUCAAGCAGAAGACAUGGAAGGGAUGACCAGGCUGAGGGAACAGUGUGUGAGAAUGCUUGGAGUCAAAGUGACACUCUCCCCAUUUCACAGCGAAGGAAGCUGAGAUUCCAAGAGGAAGUGAUUCCAUGGCUCUGAAACCUGGCUCUUCCUCCUGUACCUGCUGCCGAGCUCCUGGGAGGAGACAUGUUCCCUCUCAGUUGAGACCCUGGGACAUGGGGGACUUUUUUUUAAAAAUUCAAAUUUGAUUUUACUGCAGCCCAAACAGUACAAUUAACUAUACAUAAAUAAACUAUAUAUAUAUAUGUAUUAUGUAUAUGCACACACAUUUUAAGUUACAGGAAAUAACAAAGUGAAUAAAAUUUUCUAGGAAAUAAAGUU